CAAGUCGAGCGAUGAGAUCACUUCGGUGAAGGAUUAGCGGCGAACGGGUGAGGAACACGUGAAGAAUCUGCCUUCAACUCUGGGAUAACUCCGGGAAACCGGGGCUAAUACCGGAUAUGAGCCUUGAUCGCAUGAUCGGGGCUGGAAAGUUUUUCGGUUGAAGAUGACUUCGCGGCCUAUCAGCUUGUUGGUGAGGUAAUGGCUCACCAAGGCGACGACGGGUAGCCGGCCUGAGAGGGCGACCGGCCACACUGGGACUGAGACACGGCCCAGACUCCUACGGGAGGCAGCAGUGGGGAGUAUUGGGCAAUGGACGAAAGUCUGACCCAGCGACGCCGCGUGCGGGAUGAAGGCCUUCGGGUUGUAAACCGCUUUCAGCAGGGAAUAAGCGCAAGUGAAGGUACCUGCAGAAGAAGCACCGGCUAACUAUGUGCCAGCAGCCACGGUAAUACAUAGGGUGCAAGCGUUGUCCGGAAUUAUUGGGCGUAAAGAGCUCGUAGGUGGUUUGUUACGUCGGUUGUGAAAUUCAGGGGCUCAACCCCUGACUUGCAGCCGAUACGGGCAAGCUAGAGUUUGGUAGGGGAGACUGGAAUUCCUGGUGUAGCGGUGGAAUGCGCAGAUAUCAGGAGGAACACCGAUGGCGAAGGCAGGUCUCUGGGCCAAUACUGACACUGAGGAGCGAAAGCGUGGGGAGCGAACAGGAUUAGAUACCCUGGUAGUCCACGCCGUAAAACGGUGGGCGCUAGUUGUGCGAACCUUCCACGGUUUGUGCGACGCAGCUAACGCAUUAAGCGCCCCGCCUGGGGAGUACGAUCGCAAGAUUAAAACUCAAAGGAAUUGACGG
rnacentral:rRNA from 1 species